UGCUUCUUUGCUUCGAAAAAAUAAGUUUGGGUUAGAAAGUAACUUUUAUCACAAUGAAUCUGGGUUAUUGUUCUUCACUUAGCUCAUGUAAGCUUUGAAAUUUUGCAGAAAUUAGAGGUGGAAGAAGUAGAAGAAGAGAAGUCGAAGGCAAAGAGGAAA